rnacentral:rRNA from 1 species
UACGGAGAGUGCAAACGUUGUUCGGAUUCACUGGGCGUAAAGGGCACGUAGGCGGCUCGGCAAAUCGGUCGUGGAAUCUCGACGCUUACCGUCGAAACGGCGGCCGAAAAUACCGGGCUCGAGGGCGUGAGGGGUCACUGGAACUCCUGGUGAAGCGGUGAAAUGCGUAAAUAUCAGGAGGAACACCUGCGGUGUAGACGGCUUUCUGGACCAUUGUUGACGCUGAGACACGAAAGCGUGGGUAGCAAACGGG